AGAAUUCCGGCCACCAAUUAAGGCAAUUACCUCCAGGGAUGUGGACGUCAUCGACGGCGACUUGGGAAGAAUUUCCAACGUGAAGUUUCUGUAACCCAAGAUAACGUGCGUCACGAAGAUGAGACCCAAAUGACUAACAUAAUAGCGACGCCACAGAACGUCCAUUCAUCAAAGACCAAUGAAACGUACUGUUCAUAAAAGAUCUGUAGAAUCCGUCACUUGAUCCACUAAUAUACUAGGUUGACUAGCUCAGAUGAUUGGCUGAUAGUUAUUCUUCUACACUACACAAGGUCAUGUGAAGCCCAUAACACUCAAUAACUGCGCAAUUAGAACUCAAUUUUUGGAACGGCAUUGAAAAUUGACCUCAAUGGAGAUGAGGACGCCCCGCACCAUAAUCUUCAUUCACGGACCGUCGCCAUUGUCUUAACCAGAAUACUAAAGUGAUUGGCCCAGCGUGAUUGACGGGACGACCUAUGCGUUUUAAUUAGAGACGCCCCAAUGGUGAACCUCGACUUCCAUCGGAACUUAAGCGAGGACUGGACUCAAUUUCAGAAGAAGCGCUUUCGCUAUUGAGCGUGGUGGACGAUCCGUACGGAUCGAGUGACGACUGGACUGACAUGGAACGGG